UUUUUUUUUUUUUUUUUUUAAAGGAUGUGUUAGAUUUACAAUUAUUUAAAAAAUUCUCCUUGUCUUUCUUUUUCUAUUGCCAUCUGUUCGUUUAAAUUUUCUCAGAUUGUUUACGGUUUCAGUUUUCCCUCCAUACAUUUUCUGGCAUUUGGCGCUCCUUUUCUGACACAAUAGGUCAGCCUUUCAAAAAUUUGGCCCUAUAUACUUCAACUUUUUCCGUAGUCAACACACUGCCUAUGCCUUCUGAAGUCUUUCAUCUUUUAGGUCUUUGAGCAGAUGUUAACUGUUUAAAUAUUUUGUUGUUUGGGUGUAAAGAAAAUUGAAAUGUAAGACGUCAGUGAUAGCAUGCUUUGCUUAUACCCGAGCAGAUUGCUGCCUGCAAGUUAAAUAUGCAAACGUCUUUAAAACAUGGAGAGUUCCUCUUAUGCAUUUUAACCAUAAUCUACAGGUUGUGUACUGUGAAAAAUGAGUUAAAUUCAUCAAGUUAUACUGAAGAUUUUUGUUGAGUGGGAGCAUAUCUAAAAACUAGUGUAUUUCUUCUCUGAAUUGAUUUAUAACACUGGGAGCUUUCCUGGGGAUGAACUCAGGCUUCCUGGCAGGAAUGAGAGAGGAAUCAUUCUAUAUACACUCCAUACUUUCUGGUUCAUGUAUUAUAUUAAUGGUGGUAUUUUGACUCAUUUAGUUAUAAUAUGAAUGGCUACAAUAAAUGGGUCAUAAGUUAUUGAUGCUGUAAAGUCACCUGGGAAUGUGACAGCACUCUUGGUAGUAGUCAUGGCUUGAGUGGUAUCAGUGACCAACUUUCAUGGUGUGCCAGGUGUCUCAUUUAUCCCUCAACCAACCCCAUGUGUUGAUCCCUAUUAUGGCCCCAUUUUAGAGAUGAGAGAACUGAGGCCGAGAAUGGUUAACUAGCUCUCCUAGGUCAUAAAACUAAUAAGUACUAGAGCUGGAAUUUCAGCCUUGGUGGUCUGAGUCCAUUGCCUCUGAAGUGCACUUUUUUGUGGUAUAGGCUUUAAAAGCACAGGCUGUGAAGGUGAAGAGGACUUACAGUCAUUAAAUCUUAGUUUUUUCAUCUGUAGAAAGUAGCUGGGAACAGUAUAUACCUUCAAAGUGUUGAGAGGUAAAAUGACAAAGUACAGGUGCCUAGCUGUUAAGUGCUCAGUAAAUACCAACUAUUAUCAUUGUUAUUAAAGCUAUUGAUUAGUGUUGUACUAGAGAACUUUAUACUGUCCCUCCCCCUCCCUCCUCCCCCCUUGAUGAGGAGGCCUCUGAAUAGUAAAAGUUCAUUAUGGCUUUGAGUGUAGUCAUAUCUUUGCGUAGAUAAUGCAUCACUACCUCUGUCGUACAUGAUAUAUUAAAUAAUUCCAACAGCAGCAGGUUUCUCCUUAACUUUAUUCAGAUUUUGUCCUUGGCUCGUUCCCCACCAGCCCAAAUGAGGAGAAAUUUGUAGCUCAGUCCCUCACAUUGAAAGUGGGCAUUAAUAUUAGCAAAUUCCCUUUAAUAAUCAUCACAUUAAAUUUGAUGACCAGAGGGGACAUCCUGAUAACUUAUAACGGAAAAUAAUGUCUCUGGGAGACAAGGGAGCCUUUCCCAAACAUUAACCAUUGAGCAAGAUUAAAGAGACUGAAGACCUGGGAGGCUGAUGGUCAGUGUUAUUAGUCUGAUGGUCCACAGUCAGGAAACUGGUGUUCAGUUUCCUGAGCAUCUGUGGCCCUUUAAUCUUAGCUGUAGAAAUAGAAAAGAAGAUUGUAGAAACCUGUUCGAGAGCAACAAUUAUUGAUACUUUUUCCUCUUACAUGACUCAAAACAAAAGAGGACUGUCAUACAUAAUGGCUCUGUAUCUUGGGGUUAUUGAAGAUGAGUCAUUAAAUCCAGCAGCCAGGAGACCUGAUAGCUGCCUGUCCAAGAUCCUGAAUGGGCAGAGCUUAGUUCCUUGGGGCCAAUGAAGCUGUGUAGUUGCUUAGAAAGGACAGAGGAAUGCCUGCCUGGCCUCCGUGUGGGAGUUAAAUGUUUGGCAAGAGUCAGAGGGUAGCUUUCAAGUCACAUGCUUGUAUUUCGUGACUACAUCUGGGCACUCUUGUGCACACAGUUCCCCUGCUUUUUUUCUUUUGGUGGCUGAACCCAGUCUUUCCAGAUCUCAGGUUCAAUGUGGGUUCUUAACUGCGGCCCCUCCAGAGCACUCUUACCUUUGCCUGGCACCUCAUUUGUGUUGUUGCUCUUAGCUUUUUUAAUUGUUUUUGUCUCUCACUGGAUAGCACAGUGAGGACGUCAUUUCUCCAUUUUCUACUUGUGAUCAAUAUGGGGCCUGCUGGCAUGUACUGAGCACUCAAAAAGCUUAGAGGAUGAAUGUCAGAGAUUGAUUUAUGCCAUACAUUUUUAUGGAACCACUGUUUUCUCCCAGAUAAGGGUUAGCUUCUGGACCCAACUUUAUAUGCAUAGAAAUAAGAUAUCAAGGUGAAGGACCAUAGGAAAAGGAAGAAAGCACAUCCCUGUUCUUUCAGGGUAUUAAAAGCCAGGGAUCAUGUGUAUGUUCACUUUAGUCCCAAUGGCCAAGACGUCCAUCAGCAGCUCUUUGAGCCUGUUUCCAUUUUGUCCCUGAAAUGCAGCAAAGAUGCUUAGUGUAUUGUAGUUUUACCCUGAAGACUAAUUGGUAUGGUGGAGUUCACUGAUGCUGAGGUUUUUUUCUCCUUCACAUUUUAACAUCUCUGAAAUCAGGAAAUAAUUUCCAUUUAGUAGUGCUUGAAAAUUGUUGUCUGGGAUUUUUUUUUUUUUUUUUUUUUUUUUAACCAUUGGAACAUCACUGAAGUUGGGAUGAGUCUUCUUACAAUUAACAGUGUCUUCAGCUUCAUGAGCUAAAGUAAUUAUGGGAAGCAUAUAGGUGUUAGAUCUAUAAAUAUGUAUGUCCUUAUCUUUGUCCUCAGUAACAAAAGAAAAGAGAUAGUUGGUAUAAGCAUCACUAUGAGGAGAAGGCGCACAGGCCUGGGAACUGGCAGAUUGGAUUCUUUCUGGGGUCAGUAGUCAUCUCACCUCCCCCUGCCAUCCUUUGCAGUCAAGGUUCUAGGUUUUUGGAUUGGCAAAGACAUCCCCCCUAUAGUGCCACUGAUUGCCAGUGGUUCAUUGGAGCUCUGUGUGUAGGGUAUUGAAGCCACGCCCCAGGUCUGUAGGCAGAUUUAGAAUCUGGGCUGCACCUGUGGCCUCUGGAAGUUCAUGGGCCAGGGACUGAACCCUCAGUAGUAACCAGAGCCACAGCAGUGACAAUGCCAGAUCCUUAAUUCCCUGAACCCCAAGGGAACUCCUGAAAUAUUUUUUAUAUUAUGUCAAUUACCAGUAACACAAAGAAGUGGAGAGAAUAGCAUCAUAAGUCCCUAUGUACUCAAACAGUUUAGUCACUGGGCCAUUAUUUGGAUGGGGAAGUUGUGACCAUCCCAGGCUAAAUCCAGGAUUGUCACCCAGAGAUAUUGAAAUAGAUCUUGGGAAGCUGACCAGAGAAAAAUUGAAGCCAUUGUGGUGUUCAUUCUAUGGACAGUGGGGGCUGCCAGCCCUGUUGGCUGUGUCAGUCAGGGUUUGUUUAAUACUAAUACUUUGUACUACAGAGGAAAUGGCCCCAGCUUUUCUCUUCCUUGUUCAAGUUUGCAGUUUGAAAAAAGUUGACCAUAUUUUCAUUGUAGGCCUAGCUUCCUUUACCAUUAGGGUAACUGUAUGCCUUCUGGUGGAAUUCUGUUUUCCAGAUUUAAUUACUAAUUACGCCUCCUUUCUUUCUUAGAAUAGAUUUGGUUUGGGCAAUAAAUUAUUUGAGUCAACUAACUUAGCCCCUGAAAGAAACUCCGAUUACCUGAUUCUAUGACUGUCUGGCUCUUUGGAGUACCACUUCAUAGAGCACCAGUUUUACAGCAGGAAUGCUAAAUGCACAUGGUUAUGGCAUAAGGAAGGCCAGUUAUACUUGCCAAGUGAUGGCAGGGACUGGAGCCUGGAACAGCCAGGCCCAGUGUUAGAGGUAGUCAAGUUUGAUUUGCGCAAAACCCAUGCUGGAUACAAAAACAUACCUGCAGGCUAAAUUCAUAUCACAGACCCCUGGUGUACACCUCUUCCUCUUAAUAGGAAACUGUUAAUGAUCUAGACUCCAAGAAGAAGGCAAAUGAGGGAUGAAUGGCCAAAUUAAUCUGCCUGUUUUGUAAAUAAAAUGUCAUUGCAAAGCAAUCACACCCAUUUGUUUUUAUAUUGUCCAUGCUGCUUUGGCACCAUAAACAGAGACAGAGCUUAAAAUAGUUGUUAUCAGGCCUUCCCAGAAAGUUUGCUGACUCCUGUUCCAGAUCAGUACUAUCCAUUAGAAAUCUCUUGGGGUUCCCAUUGUGGUGCAGCAGAAACAAAUCUGAUCAGUAACUAUGAGGAUGCAGGUUUGAUCCCUGGCCUCGCUUGGUCAGUCAGGGAUCCGGCAUUGUCAUGGGCUGGCAGCUACAGCUCCGAUUUGACCCCUAGACUAGCCUAGCCUAGGAACUUCCAUAUGCCCCAGGUGCAGCCCUAAAAAGCAAAAAAAAA
rnacentral:lncRNA from 1 species